UACAGAGGUCCCAAGCGUUGUUCGGAUUCACUGGGCGUAAAGGGUGCGUAGGUGGCGGGGUAAGUCGGAUGUGAAAUCUCCGAGCUCAACUCGGAAAUGGCAUUGGAAACUACCUUGCUCGAGGGUUGGAGGGGGGACUGGAAUACUUGGUGUAGCAGUGAAAUGCGUAGAUAUCAAGUGGAACACCAGUGGCGAAGGCGAGUCCCUGGACAACUCCUGACGCUGAGGCGCGAAAGCUAGGGGAGCAAACGGG
rnacentral:rRNA from 1 species